AAAAAAAAAAAAAUUAAAACUGCCUACAAGACAACCUGAGAAAAUUCUAAAAGCAAGCACCAAUAUAUACUAGUGGAUUUUAAAAAAAUCUUUCAAUUUGAUUAAUGGUAUUAUCAUUAAUUAGAUAAUUAAUUAAUUUUAAACUAUUUUUUUUUAAAUCCGAGCACUCACUCAUCAGCUGUGGCUUAUGGUGGUGUGGGAUUGAACCUGGGGCUUCAGAGCAUCAGGCAACCAUUCUACCUCAAUAUACAGCAGAAAGAUUGACCUGCUUGCAAAUUUCAGUUCUUCAUAGAUUUCCACAAAAGAUUCAUUUGUUCUCACUUUGCAUACAAUCAGG